CGUUAGUCUGAAUCCUCUUCUGAUAUAUUGCAAGUAUUUAAGUAACAUACAUUAUGCAGCCAUACAAGGAAGACUAAAAGAAGAAAAUCCAGGAUACUAUGUGAAGAAUGAAGUUUUGAUUCAGAACAGCCGAUUCAAACCAGGCUUAUGUAGCAUGGGUGCUCCUGGAGAGUUGCAGUCUGGAAGGCAGGCCAGCAGGGCUCCACCCAAGGGAGAGCACGGGACUCACUUGGACACCUGUAGGAAAUCCAGGACC
rnacentral:lncRNA from 1 species